UGGGAGGAGAAUGACAGGCUACUAAAAAUGUGCAUGCAAGAUAUUUCUCACGGAGACAAGUGGUACUGAGAAAACUAAAGCAGGUCACUACACUCAGAGGGGUCUGCUGUUACGGGCUUCAGCUGACUCUUUUUCUUGAUCUAUAUGGAUUCCAUCAGAGCCCAGAAGCUCUCACAGAGUCUGAAUGAGUGUUCUCUGCUGCUGCCAUGUUGGCCAAAACAAAACUGAGCUGGAGCCUUCGGGGUGUAGGGGGAUGAUGCAGCUCCUGGGAGUCAAGCUCUCCACCCACGGCCGCCCAGAGCAAGGUGUAGGAGGAGACCCGGAGGAAGCAUCUGGCUGGAAAGUGGACAUUCCUCAGUCAAGAAGAUUUUAA